GGUGGUAUAGUAUAGUGGAUAGUACAACACGUUGUGGCUAGCUCUUACUGUUACCGUGUAGACCUGGGUUCGAUUCCCAGUACCGCCA